rnacentral:rRNA from 1 species
UAAGCGACUAAGCGUACACGGUGGAUGCCCUGGCAGUCAGAGGCGAUGAAGGACGUGCUAAUCUGCGAUAAGCGUCGGUAAGGUGAUAUGAACCGUUAUAACCGGCGAUUUCCGAAUGGGGAAACCCAGUGUGUUUCGUCACACUAUCAUUAACUGAAUCCAUAGGUUAAUGAGGCGAACCGGGGGAACUGAAACAUCUAAGUACCCCGAGGAAAAGAAAUCAACCGAGAUUCCCCCAGUAGCGGCGAGCGAACGGGGAGCAGCCCAGAGCCUGAAUCAGUGUGUGUGUUAGUGGAAGCGUCUGGAAAGGCGCGCGAUACAGGGUGACAGCCCCGUACACAAAAAUGCACAUACUGUGAGCUCGAUGAGUAGGGCGGGACACGUGGUAUCCUGUCUGAAUAUGGGGGGGACCAUCCUCCAAGGCUAAAUACUCCUGACUGACCGAUAGUGAACCAGUACCGUGAGGGAAAGGCGAAAAGUACCCCGGCGAGGGGAGUGAAAAAGAACCUGAAACCGUGUACGUACAAGCAGUGGGAGCCUCUUUUAUGGGGUGACUGCGUACCUUUUGUAUAAUGGGUCAGCGACUUAUAUUCUGUAGCAAGGUUAACCGAAUAGGGGAGCCGAAGGGAAACCGAGUCUUAACCGGGCGUUAAGUUGCAGGGUAUAGACCCGAAACCCGGUGAUCUAGCCAUGGGCAGGUUGAAGGUUGGGUAACACUAACUGGAGGACCGAACCGACUAAUGUUGAAAAAUUAGCGGAUGACUUGUGGCUGGGGGUGAAAGGCCAAUCAAACCGGGAGAUAGCUGGUUCUCCCCGAAAGCUAUUUAGGUAGCGCCUCGUGAAUUCAUCUCCGGGGGUAGAGCACUGUUUCGGCAAGGGGGUCAUCCCGACUUACCAACCCGAUGCAAACUGCGAAUACCGGAGAAUGUUAUCACGGGAGACACACGGCGGGUGCUAACGUCCGUCGUGAAGAGGGAAACAACCCAGACCGCCAGCUAAGGUCCCAAAGUCAUGGUUAAGUGGGAAACGAUGUGGGAAGGCCCAGACAGCCAGGAUGUUGGCUUAGAAGCAGCCAUCAUUUAAAGAAAGCGUAAUAGCUCACUGGUCGAGUCGGCCUGCGCGGAAGAUGUAACGGGGCUAAACCAUGCACCGAAGCUGCGGCAGCGACACUGUGUGUUGUUGGGUAGGGGAGCGUUCUGUAAGCCUGUGAAGGUGUACUGUAAGGUAUGCUGGAGGUAUCAGAAGUGCGAAUGCUGACAUAAGUAACGAUAAAGCGGGUGAAAAGCCCGCUCGCCGGAAGACCAAGGGUUCCUGUCCAACGUUAAUCGGGGCAGGGUGAGUCGACCCCUAAGGCGAGGCCGAAAGGCGUAGUCGAUGGGAAACAGGUUAAUAUUCCUGUACUUGGUGUUACUGCGAAGGGGGGACGGAGAAGGCUAUGUUGGCCGGGCGACGGUUGUCCCGGUUUAAGCGUGUAGGCUGGUUUUCCAGGCAAAUCCGGAAAAUCAAGGCUGAGGCGUGAUGACGAGGCACUACGGUGCUGAAGCAACAAAUGCCCUGCUUCCAGGAAAAGCCUCUAAGCAUCAGGUAACAUCAAAUCGUACCCCAAACCGACACAGGUGGUCAGGUAGAGAAUACCAAGGCGUUUGAGAGAACUCGGGUGAAGGAACUAGGCAAAAUGGUGCCGUAACUUCGGGAGAAGGCACGCUGAUAUGUAGGUGAAGUCCCUCGCGGAUGGAGCUGAAAUCAGUCGAAGAUACCAGCUGGCUGCAACUGUUUAUUAAAAACACAGCACUGUGCAAACACGAAAGUGGACGUAUACGGUGUGACGCCUGCCCGGUGCCGGAAGGUUAAUUGAUGGGGUCAGCGCAAGCGAAGCUCUUGAUCGAAGCCCCGGUAAACGGCGGCCGUAACUAUAACGGUCCUAAGGUAGCGAAAUUCCUUGUCGGGUAAGUUCCGACCUGCACGAAUGGCGUAAUGAUGGCCAGGCUGUCUCCACCCGAGACUCAGUGAAAUUGAACUCGCUGUGAAGAUGCAGUGUACCCGCGGCAAGACGGAAAGACCCCGUGAACCUUUACUAUAGCUUGACACUGAACAUUGAGCCUUGAUGUGUAGGAUAGGUGGGAGGCUUUGAAGUGUGGACGCCAGUCUGCAUGGAGCCGACCUUGAAAUACCACCCUUUAAUGUUUGAUGUUCUAACGUGGACCCGUGAUCCGGGUUGCGGACAGUGUCUGGUGGGUAGUUUGACUGGGGCGGUCUCCUCCUAAAGAGUAACGGAGGAGCACGAAGGUUGGCUAAUCCUGGUCGGACAUCAGGAGGUUAGUGCAAUGGCAUAAGCCAGCUUGACUGCGAGCGUGACGGCGCGAGCAGGUGCGAAAGCAGGUCAUAGUGAUCCGGUGGUUCUGAAUGGAAGGGCCAUCGCUCAACGGAUAAAAGGUACUCCGGGGAUAACAGGCUGAUACCGCCCAAGAGUUCAUAUCGACGGCGGUGUUUGGCACCUCGAUGUCGGCUCAUCACAUCCUGGGGCUGAAGUAGGUCCCAAGGGUAUGGCUGUUCGCCAUUUAAAGUGGUACGCGAGCUGGGUUUAGAACGUCGUGAGACAGUUCGGUCCCUAUCUGCCGUGGGCGCUGGAGAACUGAGGGGGGCUGCUCCUAGUACGAGAGGACCGGAGUGGACGCAUCACUGGUGUUCGGGUUGUCAUGCCAAUGGCACUGCCCGGUAGCUAAAUGCGGAAGAGAUAAGUGCUGAAAGCAUCUAAGCACGAAACUUGCCCCGAGAUGAGUUCUCCCUGACCCUUUAAGGGUCCUGAAGGAACGUUGAAGACGACGACGUUGAUAGGCCGGGUGUGUAAGCGCAGCGAUGCGUUGAGCUAACCGGUACUAAUGAACCGUGAGGCUUAACCU